CUUCAUAGGAAUGUAUCACUGUGGAUCACUUUUGGUGGAGGAACUAAACUGUCUGUGGGCCGUGACACCCAGCCCAGUGUGACAGUGCUGCCCCCCUCCAGUGUGGAGCUGCAGCAGGAGAAGGUCACACUCAUGUGUGUGGCCUACAAGGGCUUCCCCUCGGACUGGAAGUUGAGCUGGAAGGUUGACGGCAGCAGCUGGAGCUCGGGGGAGAGCCGCAGCGCCGCCGUUCUGAACGCGGACGGCCUCUACAGCUGGAGCAGCACGCUGAGCCUCCACCCGGAUCAGUGGAGGAACAAGGUGGUGACCUGUGAGGCCUCCAAAGACAACCAACCUACUGUGGUGAGCACAGUGAACACAGAUCAGUGCUCAGAGCUGUGAGCUCACACACACUUUACUCAGCUCACCUUCUACUGCUUCACUGUGUGCUACAUGUGGCCUUUACUGCUCAAAUCAUCCACUCUCAUCAUUUCAUUUGUCUUAUUAACAUGUGAGCUCACACACUCCUCACUUUAACUCAGCUCUUCUUCUUAAUUAUCAACUAAAUAUGUGUUAAGUGU